UACGUAGGGGGGCAAGCGUUGUCCGGAUUUAUUGGGCGUAAAGAGCGUGUAGGCGGCUUGGAAGGUCAGCUGUGAAAACUCGAGGCUCAACCUCGAGACGUCGGUUGAAACCACCUGGCUAGAGUCCGGAAGAGGAGAGUGGAAUUCCCGGUGUAGCGGUGAAAUGCGCAGAUAUCGGGAAGAACACCCGUGGCGAAGGCGGCUCUCUGGGACGGUACUGACGCUGAGGUGCGAAAGCGUGGGGAGCAAACAGGG
rnacentral:rRNA from 1 species